UUGAUCCUGGCUCAGAAUCAACGCUGGCGGCGUGCCUAACACAUGCAAGUCGAACGAGAAAGUGGAGCAAUCCAUGAGUAAAGUGGCGACCGGGUGAGUUACACGUGACCAAUCUACCCUUGAGUGGGGGAUAACCUCGGGAAACCGGGUCUAAUACCGCAUAACAUCUCUGGAUCGGAAGAACUGGAGAUCAAAGGAGUAAUUCGCUUAAGGAGGAGGUCGCGGCUGAUUAGCUAGUUGGCGGGGUAAUGGCCCACCAAGGCAAAGAUCGGUAGCCGGCCUGAGAGGGCGCACGGCCAUACUGGAACUGAAACACGGUCCAGACUCCUACGGGAGGCAGCAGUGGGGAUUUUUGCGCAAUGGGGGAAACCCUGACGCAGCAACGCCGCGUGGAGGAUGUAGUCCCUUGGGACGUAAACUCCUUUCGACCCGGACGAUAAUGACGGUACUGGUGGAAGAAGCCCCGGCUAACUUCGUGCCAGCAGCCGCGGUAAUAAGGU
rnacentral:rRNA from 1 species